rnacentral:tRNA from 1 species
UCCGAAUUGGUGUAGUGGCUAACAUUUGACGCUCUCAUAGCAUAUGAUCCGUCAAGCCCGGGGUUCGAUUCCCCGAUUCGGAG